rnacentral:rRNA from 1 species
UACGGAGGGAGCUAGCGUUGUUCGGAAUUACUGGGCGUAAAGCGCACGUAGGCGGCUUUGUAAGUUAGAGGUGAAAGCCCGGAGCUCAACUCCGGAAUUGCCUUUAAGACUGCAUCGCUUGAAUCCAGGAGAGGUGAGUGGAAUUCCGAGUGUAGAGGUGAAAUUCGUAGAUAUUCGGAAGAAACACCAGUGGCGAAGGCGGCUCACUGGACUGGUAUUGACGCUGAGGUGGCGAAAGCGUGGGGAGCAAACAGG